rnacentral:rRNA from 1 species
CCUACGGUGCGCUGCAGUGGGGAAUAUUGGACAAUGGGCGAAAGCCUGAUCCAGCCAUGCCGCGUGUGUGAAGAAGGCCUUCGGGUUGUAAAGCACUUUCAGUGGGGAAGAAAGCCUUGGGGCUAAUACCCUCGAGGAAGGACAUCACCCACAGAAGAAGCACCGGCUAACUCCGUGCCAGCAGCCGCGGUAAUACGGAGGGUGCGAGCGUUAAUCGGAAUUACGGGGCGUAAAGCGCGCGUAGGCGGUCUGAUAAGCCGGUUGUGAAAGCCCCGGGCUCAACCUGGGAACGGCAUCCGGAACUGUCAGGCUAGAGUGCAGGAGAGGAAGGUAGAAUUCCCGGUGUAGCGGUGAAAUGCGUAGAGAUCGGGAGGAAUACCAGUGGCGAAGGCGGCCUUCUGGACUGACACUGACGCUGAGGUGCGAAAGCGUGGGUAGCAAACAGGAUUAGAUACCCGGGUAGUC